GUAAAUGCAAUGAAGAGGAAUAUUAGAUAAGGACCAGCUUCAGAGAACUGUCGGAAGGUGCGAGACAGUGAAAGGAACUUAUUGAACUCACCUUGGAGCUGCUACCCGAAAUUAUAUCAGCAGGAUAUAAGAGUAGACGUAGACGGAAGCCAACCGUUAUAGUGGACAGAAUAUAAUGCAAUAUGCACGUAUUCGGUGAGAGCGCAAUUAUUAAUUGCGAAUAAGAGUGGUAACGCGUGAGAUUAUAUCUUUCGUCUCUUAG
rnacentral:ncRNA from 1 species